CGGGACGGCUCUCGGCUGCCCCUGGCGCUCCCGCCUCCUAUCUUUUAGCCAAAAUCCCGCCCAAAGACAUUUCUGCUGGGCAAUGGUGCAACGCCCCCUACCCACGCCCUCGGGGUUCAGAAUCCCCUGCUCCGGACUCCAGAGACGUGUUCGCCUGGCUCGAGCGGGCGGGUGAGUUUCCACAAGCGCCACUAGGGCCCUCGGGUGGACCCUCGAAGGCCCCCUAGCCACCCACGCUCUCAGGCGAGUGCGGGAAGCUGGGGCACUCACCCAGCCAGAGAGAGCAGGAGUCCGCACUGCAAGAGGCAGCAGCAGCCUGGCCUCGCACCCUGUGCUCGAGGCUAUUUUCCUCCUUCCUACUUUUCCUGGUGUACCAUGAAGAGCUUCAAUGCAGGUCCCUUAAGCUCCGCACUUCUCUGAAGGCACCACACUGUCCUUGCCAGAAGAUCUUAGCGCGCUGACCCCAGGCUGGCUCAGGAACGGGACUCUGGGGUUCCUUGGCGCGGUGCCCUCCUUCCAGGCGACAGCGGUGCUGCUGGAGGAGGUUGGAGCCUUGGGCUGCAGGUACCCUACUCCCAGUCCGUGACUCGGUGGCCCAGGGUGCAGGAUGAGAGGCGCAAGCAGGGGCGGCGGGAAUGAGGAUUACAUAAGAAGGGAAAGUGACACCGUGGGAAGUGAAAACUGCUCUGGUCCUGGAAUCAUAAGACCUGAUUUGGAUCCUGGCUGUGUCAUGUACAAGCUGAAUGACCUUGAGCAAGUAGCUGAACAACUUUGAGCUCCACUUUUCUCCUCUGAAAAGUUUACAUUUCCCCAGUAUUGGUAGAAAAAAAUAAAAAAGAGAGAGAUGAA